CCUACGGGAGGCAGCAGUGAGGAAUAUUGGUCAAUGGACGAGAGUCUGAACCAGCCAAGUAGCGUGAAGGAUGACUGCCCUAUGGGUUGUAAACUUCUUUUAUAAAGGAAUAAAACGAGGCACGUGUGCCUUUUUGCAUGUACUUUAUGAAUAAGGAUCGGCUAACUCCGUGCCAGCAGCCGCGGUAAUACGGAGGAUCCGAGCGUUAUCCGGAUUUAUUUGGUUUAAAGGGAGCGUAGAUGGGUUGUUAAGUCAGUUGUGAAAGUUUGCGGCUCAACCGUAAAAUUGCAAUUGAUACUGGCAGUCUUGAGUACAGUUGAGGUAGGCGGAAUUCGUGGUGUAGCGGUGAAAUGCUUAGAUAUCACGAAGAACCCCGAUUGCGAAGGCAGCUUACUAAACUGUGACUGACAUUGAUGCUCGAAAGUGUGGGUAUCAAACAGGAGUAGAUACCCCUGUAGUC
rnacentral:rRNA from 1 species